AGGCGAGGAAAGCAAAAUUGUUCAUAAUUAAGUCCCAAGAACUGAAUAAACAUACAUAGCAUGAACGUGUGAUAUACAAGUAAACAACAACAAACAGAUUUCCAUAUGCAUAAAGAGCCAUCUGAAUACAACAUACACGACAAGAAAAUAAUCUUAGCUGGCGAGGCAAACAUACAAUAGCCAAUGGGGUACAACAGGUGAUGAACACUAGCAGGGUAGAACAUGGAGAUCAUUGUGGGGCAAGAAACCUUAUAAUGGGGGCAACAGCCAAUAGGUUACCAUGUUGUUUUAUUCUACGGCCAAGGUUUCCGUGUCAGAUAUAGGUUCACCAUUCAAAGGCCACUGUACAAGCUCGUCAAGAUGAACAUGGAGAUCAUUGUGGGGCAAGAAACCUUAUAAUGGAGGCAACAGCCAAUAGGUUACCCGUUACCAUGUUGUUUUAUUCUUCGGCCAAGGUUUCCGUGUCAGAUAUAGGUUCACCAUUCAAAAGCCACUGUUCAAGUUCAUCAAGAUCGUCAUCAUCAUGCCGAUACCAAUCGGAGGAUCUGUCC
rnacentral:lncRNA from 1 species